rnacentral:rRNA from 1 species
UACGUAGGGGGCAAGCGUUGUCCGGAAUUAUUGGGCGUAAAGAGCUCGUAGGCGGUUUGUCGCGUCUGCUGUGAAAACCCGAGGCUCAACCUCGGGCCUGCAGUGGGUACGGGCAGACUAGAGUGCGGUAGGGGUGACUGGAAUUCCUGGUGUAGCGGUGGAAUGCGCAGAUAUCAGGAGGAACACCGAUGGCGAAAGGCA